CUAAAAAUAAGUUAAAUUAAACUAUUGGAUUCAUAAUCCAACCUUGGCUAAGCCUUUUUAGA
rnacentral:tRNA from 1 species